CCUACGGGUGGCAGCAGUGAGGAAUAUUGGUCAAUGGGCGGAAGCCUGAACCAGCCAAGUCGCGUGAGGGAAUAAGGCCCUACGGGUCGUAAACCUCUUUUGCCGGGGAGCAAGGGCGGGGACGUGUCCCGGCCCGGAGAGUACCCGGAGAAAAAGCAUCGGCUAACUCCGUGCCAGCAGCCGCGGUAAUACGGAGGAUGCGAGCGUUAUCCGGAUUUAUUGGGUUUAAAGGGUGCGUAGGUGGAUUGUUAAGUCAGUUGUGAAAGUUUGCGGCUCAACCGUAAAAUUGCAGUUGAAACUGGCAGUCUUGAGUACAGUAGAGGUGGGCGGAAUUCGUGGUGUAGCGGUGAAAUGCUUAGAUAUCACGAAGAACUCCGAUUGCGAAGGCAGUUCACUGGACUGCAACUGACACUGAGGCUCGAAAGUGUGGGUAUCAAACAGGAUUAGAUACCCCAGUAGUC
rnacentral:rRNA from 1 species